rnacentral:misc_RNA from 1 species
UCAAACUUGGUCAUUUAGAGGAAGUAAAAGUCGUAACAAGGUUUCCGUAGGUGAACCUGCGGAAGGAUCAUUAUUGAAACACUGAACGCUUGUGGCUUUGCUUCUGUUGCUGACUCUCUUCGCGGGGAGUAUGUGCACGUCGCAAAUGUCACUUGCCUCUUCUCUGUCCACCUGUGCACUCUUGGUAGAUCUGGUCUGGCGCCUCGCUUGUUAACUCAAGCGGAUUGCGAAGGGUAUGCUUCGACUCCCUUUGGGCCGCUCCAGGUCUACAUUUCACAUCAACUCUUGUAUGUUUAGAAUGUCUUGCUUACUGGACUUGAUUGUCCUUUAACAACCUUAUACAACUUUCAACAACGGAUCUCUUGGCUCUCGCAUCGAUGAAGAACGCAGC